GGCACGAGAAUCGCUUGAACGUGGGAGGCAGAGAUUGCAGUAAGCUAGGAUUGUGCUACCGCACUCCAGCCUGGGCAACAGAGUAAGCCCCUAUCUCCAAAAAUUAAAAUAUAAUGAAAAAAAAU